rnacentral:lncRNA from 1 species
CUAAAAAAAAUUCACAAGCACCUCAAUAUUAUUAUAAUUCAAUGACAAUGCCAAUGUCUUCUCAACAUACUUAUUUGGAAGUAGAAGAUAUACAAAUUAAUGUAAUAUGUUUCAAAUAUUAACGGUCAGUCCAAAGUCAUAUUCCACAAUAUUCUAAUCACAGUUUUAGUAAUACUUCUCUCAAUCACAAUUCUUCACAAGCAAAUAAUAAAAGCAAAGAAAAUAAAGAGGUAGCACCAAGCUUACCCUGGCUUAUGACUUUCACAGUCUGGCCCCGAUCUCCCU